AACUAACGCUGGCGGCGUGCCUAACACAUGCAAGUCGUACGAGAAAGCCGGCUUCGGCUGGUGAGUAAAGUGGCGCACGGGUGAGUAACGCGUGGAUAAUCUGCCCUUAAGUGUGGAAUAACGUACCGAAAGGUGCGCUAAUACCGCAUAAUGCCUGGCAACACAAGUUGUCCGGCCAAAGAAGGCCUCUGUUUACAAGGCUUUCGCUUCAGGAUGAGUCCGCGUACCAUUAGCUUGUUGGUGGGGUAAUGGCCUACCAAGGCUGCGAUGGUUAGCUGGUCUGAGAGGAUGAUCAGCCACACUGGAACUGAGACACGGUCCAGACUCCUACGGGAGGCAGCAGUGAGGAUAUUGCGCAAUGGGGGCAACCCUGACGCAGCAACGCCGCGUGAGUGAGGAAGGUUUUCGGACUGUAAAGCUCUGUCGAGCGGGAAGAAGUGUACCAUGGCUAAUAUCCAUGAUAUUUGACGGUACCGCUAGGG
rnacentral:rRNA from 1 species